rfam:Calocera cornea HHB12733 unplaced genomic scaffold CALCOscaffold_108, whole genome shotgun sequence.
CUCUGCUUAGCUCAGUUGGAAGAGCGUGGGACUGUAAUCGGAUCGAACCAGCUAAAAUCCCAAGGUCGCUAGUUCGAACCUGGCAGCAGAGA